rnacentral:rRNA from 1 species
AGUAACACGUGGAUAACCUACCUAUAAGACUGGGAUAACUUCGGGAAACCGGAGCUAAUACCGGAUAAUAUUAUGAACCGCAUGGUUCAAAAGUGAAAGACGGUCUUGCUGUCACUUAUAGAUGGAUCCGCGCUGCAUUAGCUAGUUGGUAAGGUAACGGCUUACCAAGGCAACGAUGCAUAGCCGACCUGAGAGGGUGAUCGACCACACUGGAACUGAGACACGGUCCAG